GAUGAACGCUGGCGGCGUGCCUAAUACAUGCAAGUCGAGCGAACAGACGAGAGUGCUUGCCCUCUCUGACGUUAGCGGCGGACGGGUGAGUAACACGUGGGUAACCUACCUAUAAGACUGGGAUAACUUCGGGAAACCGGAGCUAAUACCGGAUAAUAUUUAGCUUCGCAUGAAGCAAUAGUGAAAGACGGUUCUGCUGUCACUUAUAGAUGGACCCGCGGUGUAUUAGCUAGUUGGUGAGGUAACGGCUCACCAAGGCAACGAUACAUAGCCGACCUGAGAGGGUGAUCGGCCACACUGGGACUGAGACACGGCCCAGACUCCUACGGGAGGCAGCAGUAGGGAAUCUUCCGCAAUGGGCGAAAGUCUGACGGAGCAAUGCCGCGUGAGUGAAGAAGGUUUUCGGAUCGUAAAACUCUGUUGUAAGGGAAGAACAAGUACGUUAGUAACUGAACGUACCUUGACGGUACCUUACCAGAAAGCCACGGCUAACUACGUG
rnacentral:rRNA from 1 species